rnacentral:rRNA from 1 species
AUUGCACGCUGGCGGCAGGCCUAACACAUGCAAGUCGAGCGGAGCGGCGGACGGGUGAGUAAUGCCUAGGUAUCUCCCUGGUGGUGGGGGCUAACGCCCGGAAACGGGCGGUAAUUCCGCAUACGAUCCGUUGAGCCUAGGGCGGAUUAGCUAGAUGGUGGGGUAAAGGGCUACCAAGGCGACGCUCCGUACCUGGGCUGAGAGGAGGAUCAGGCAAACUGGAACUGAGACACGGUCCAGACUGCUACGUGAGGCAGAAGUGGGGAAUAGUGGACAAAGGGCGAAAGCCUGAUCCAGCCAUGCCGGGUGUGUGAAGAAGGUCUUCGGAUUGGAAAGCACUUUAGGUGGGGAGGGGUUACCAACAGAGUAAGCACCGGCUAACUUCGUGCCAGCAGCCGCGGUAAUAC